rnacentral:rRNA from 1 species
UGUGUAGGCGGUUUUCCAAGUUUGGUGUGAAAUCUCCCGGCUCAACUGGGAGGGUGCGCCGAAAACUGGAGGGCUAGAGUGCGGGAAGGGAGAGUGGAAUUCCUGGUGUAGCGGUGAAAUGCGUAGAUAUCAGGAGGAACACCGGUGGUGUAGACGGCUCUCUGGACCGCCACUGACGCUGAGACACGAAAGCGUGGGUAGCAAACAGGAUUAGAUACCCUGGUAGUCCACGCCCUAAACGAUGCAUAUUUGGUGUGGGUCAUUCAGUUGAUCCGUGCCGGAGCUAACGCGUUAAAUAUGCCGCCUGGGGAGUACAGUCGCAAGGCUGAA